rnacentral:rRNA from 1 species
UACGAAGGGGGCUAGCGUUGCUCGGAAUGACUGGGCGUAAAGGGCGCGUAGGCGGAUGGCAUAGUCAGAUGUGAAAUCCCCGGGCUCAACCUGGGAACUGCAUCUGUGACUGCAUCGCUGGAGUGCGGCAGAGGGGGAUGGAAUUCCGCGUGUAGCAGUGAAAUGCGCAGAUAUCAGGAGGAACACCGGUGGCGAAGGCGGGUCUCUGGGACGUUACUGACGCUGAGGAGCGAAAGCGUGGGGAGCGAACAGG